AUAACCUAAAAUCCUUUGAUUGUUCGUAAAAAAAUUUGAGAGAAAAAAAAUUGGAACCAUGUGACAAAAUUUCGAGAAAACUGCGGUUCAGCCGUCAAAAUUGAUGCACAAAUUCACAAGAAAAUUCUUGCCGUGGCUUCUCCUGCGCAUCGUCUUCGUUCUCUUCUGCUUCGCCGAGACAGCCGCCAAGAUGAAGCUCAACUAUUUCUGCUACUGUCUGUCACUCCAGGUCGGAGUGAACAUGCUAGCAGCCAUUCACUUCACCAUCGCUUUUAUAGUGCUCCUCUCUUUAAGCUUCACACCCAGGCCAUCGAACACACGGGAUGAUAACCCUCUGGCAUAUCUAUUGGUGUACGUGUACCUGACAAUUGCCAUCAUUGCAUAUAGUAUAGCUGUCGUUGCCUCAUUUUUGGAGUACAAGGUUAUGUACAGAACAUCUUACUUUCUGAUAUUCAUUUCGUUCUUAUACUGGCUAGUACUCUGUGCACUUGCUUUUUUCGGAGAUCAGCAUUUAAGAAGUCUUGUUUGCAUAGAUUACCGAUGCGGGCAAAGUAUGUGGCUCAUCUCGUUCCAAAGAGCAACUUACAUCUCUGGCGACUGCCGGGCUUUCAUCCCUCAAAGAGUGGCUCUGGGUCGAGUCAAGCGAUACGAUUACUUUCCUGGGGAUCCGGAAUCUGUGACUGAACUCAUGGAUCCAUCGUCCGUCGACUACAACAAACUUUUCGGCCUCAAAUUGACCGAGCUGGAACCCGUUUCGGGAGGCUCUCGAGACCCUGAGCUUCCAGCUCCGGUGAAGCCCAAAAGAAGAGGCUCGAAGCACGCAACCCCCGGCUUGAACCACACAAGCCUUAGAGAGGAACCUUCACUGUUUCCGAAGAGAAAUGAAAGUAAUGCAUACGAUAAGCCGUCAAAAUUUGAAGAUGCCAGAAUUUCCCUGAAUCCCGAUCACACUAAAAAAUCACCCCCUCACACCUUCAAGCCCAUUUCAACCAUUAUCAUCGCCACAGAGUCGUUUAACCUCACCUCCAGAGAUCAUUCGAACUCCACCAGCCCAUCAAAGUUACCUUCCCACCAGUUCUCAGAAUCUGAUUUUGAUGAACCAUCGUCGAGAUCUGCGACUCAUAUUUCACACACGCAAAAAAUUGAUAAUCCUAGGAUUAAAACUUUAGACUCGAAGCAAAAUUUAUCAAACGAGAAAAACAUUUUUGACGAUAAAAAUCCAACUUCAAUGAUUGACACAGAGAAAACCAUACCGUUCAUUCAAAAUUCCAAUGUGAAAAACGAAUCAGUCCAAGUUUCAUUCUCCACGGAGGCCUUGAAAUCGUGCGGGGUGGAAAACUGUUCCUCACGCAAAAUGGGAGAUUUCACGGAGAGUGUUGUCGCGGAUACUAAUAUUCAAAGCGCUCAGCAGUCUACCGAGUUUCCUCAAAGUGAAAAUUCCACGGAAUCUUCUCCGAGUCAAAAAACCGAAGGCAUCACCGGUUCUGAGAUUAUCGGAGAUGCAGCCAUUCAGCAAGACUUGGACGAUUCUUCUCUAAAACAAAAACUUGAUGGAAACUUGUUUAGUCAAAAUUCCUCGGACUUACCCUCGGCUCAAGAUAUAGGCGUUUUCCCCUCACCCCCAAAACUGAAUACCGAAGAUCUCCCUUCCAAUGAAAACGAAGAUUUCACGCUGACGUUAGAUGACAUUCUUCCGAGUCAAAGUACGGAGGAUUCGACCUCGAUUCCAACUUUCCCGGACGUAACUUUCAGUGAGAGCACGGAGGACUACGCUACAACUCCGAAUCCUGUUGGCCCCGCUUCGGUCCAAGGAGGCUCAAAAUAUUUCCCGGUCUACCGAGACCCAGAGGAAUCAUCCUCCACUGACAACAUCGACGAUUUCACUCUAUCCGUAGCCAACCUAAAUCUCUCGAGUCAAAACUUUGACGAAUUUACCGAUGUAGCGGAAGAUUUUACCCUAUCUACGCCAGCUCCUCAGGUAGUAAAAGUAUUUUCCACGAGUCAACUUGCUGACAAUAUUUCGACCAUGGAAGAUUCCUCGUUGGAUGGAAACGGUGAGGGUUUAUCUUCGAGUGCGAACCCUGAGUAUGUUCUUCUCAGCCAGAAUGUUGAGGAUGCACAUUCGCGACAGGAGACUGACGGGUUACUGUCCAAGGAUUCAUCGUUCAGCCAUACUCUCGGAAUCGACGAUCCUGCAAGUGUGAACGAAUCGCAUUUUAAAAUCCCGCCAGACGCCUCCUCUGAGCCUGAGUUGGCGGGCGACCCAUUAUCAUUUUACUACAAUAAAAAAGACGCCCCUCCUCAAACGAUCGAUCCCCGCACGGUGACUCUAUUCGUGAAACGUGCUGCUGAUAACAGAACCGGUCACGGCCCGGAGGGCGAUCCCAUAAGAAGUGACAACGAAGACCGAGAGAGGGCGCUUCUCGAGCCGGGCGGAGCCAGAGUGACGGAAUUCGGAAGAGACAGAGAGGAAAAACUGGAAGCCGUAAGUAUCGAGAACGAAGUUAAAAUUCCGCGACAUCAGAAUUUGCAGAAAACGAGGAGAUUCCCGUCAAACGCGGCUUCGAAGUCGAGCGCGAAUCAACGGGAACCAGACUACGGAGGAAGUGGUGACAGCGGCUACACGAGAAAUUUUCCAAUGCACCCGCGGAGGAAGUUUUUUCAGAAUCGAGGGCGAGCCAGGUACUUGAAUGGCGACUACGCAGCUGCUGAGCCUGAGCCUGACGGUCACCGGGAGAAAUCGGAUGUAUCUUUUGAGGAAAAUGACCACAUGAAAAAGGAUUUGAUAGGCGAAAACGCUAAUAAUGCCACACGGAGGAGGAACGGCAAAGCCAAAAAGCGGCCCCAGCAAAGGCAGAGAAAGCCAACAACGGAACUUCCAGAUCAUGUGGAUAAUCCGGAAAGCGACGGUGUGAUCGAUGAGGACGCAUUCUACUACAACGAUGGAAACGGUCCACCGCUGAAACAGGGCGAAGGCCAAGGAGCCUCACAACCCCUAAUCGCGAAGCCACCCCCGAUGCGGACCAUCCCUACUCCUGCCGAAACGGUGGCCCAGGUGGACGAUGCGGGUAUACCUUUGCAGAACUCCAACCCUUACGGAUACUUCCCGCCGAGCCUGAAAGAGAAGUCGGCGAACGCUCUGCCGCGGGGCUUCCUGCCGUCGGAGGCCAUCCCGCCACCCGGCUCCAGGUCUGGAAUGGACGCCGCGGUAGAUGCCCUCAGGAACCGCGUUCCCGGCGCGGGAAAAGGUUCCAGGGACGGGAGGAUCAUCACAACCAGCGAGGGUUACGGACAGGGUUUCUGCAUAUUCUAUUCGGAUCCCACGCUUUUCUAUAGGGUUGCUUCCUUGGUCCUCUUCUUCACCAACAUAGUUCUGAUCGUGUACACCCUUCUCGUCAUUCGGAGCCACCUCCAGAGCUGGAACGAGGAUCCAGACGAUGACUCGUACUGUUCCUCGGACGAGAGUGACACCUUACGGGAAGGAUCCACCGUGAUCGACUCUCAACCUUCCAAUAGCGGCCUUCGCGCCGGCGGCGGCGGGGGCAGUAGCAAAAAGCGCAAAAGACUCAAGAAAAAAAGGAGCUGCACUGACUCGAUAUGCUCGGACUACGUGCCUAAAAGGAAGAAGAGUAAAAAGAGAAAGAAGAAGAAGCCCAAGUGCCUUAGAGUGCCCCGUCCGAUUUUCAUUACUCAACCUCCACCGAUUUGCCCUCCGUGUCCUCCAUGUCCGCAGCCGCCUCCAUGCCCCGAGAUAAGAAUACCUCCGUGUCCUACGAUACCUCCAUGCCCGCCGUGUCCGCAACUUCCAGAGAAUCCGUGUCCGUCAGUACAUAUCAUGACAAGUCGGCCGCCGUGUCCGCCGCUUUACUGUCCACCGCAAUGUCCGCCGCAAUGUCCGCCACCACCGCCUCCGUGUCCUCCGCGAUCGCUUUUCGCACGCCGCCUCCCUCCUGGCUGCCCUCCCAAUGGACCGAACAUCAAACGUGAGAUGUGACCGCAGCUUCUGCCACUUGGGAAACUCGGGUCGAAACAUUGACAUCAAAAAUCUGUAAAACUGGAAACUCCACACGCCAGAAAAUACCCCCAAAAAAGUCUCUGACUCAGAAUUUUAACAUUCGCUCCUAAAGGCGAGGUCAAUAUCCAAGAAUGUAAUCCCAUUCGCUGCAAGCUAGACAACCUUAACAGCUAAGUAGCCCUAACGUUGUACACGCUGACAGUAAUCAUGAGUCACAUAAGCGAGAUCACGAAGCGACAGUUGAUCAGAGACGUAUGCCCCCCGAAACCCCCCUGUCCGGCCGUCAAGAAAAGACCGGGCACCC